UAACCCUUCCCUCUGACCCCAACCCUUCCCUCUGACCCUAAGCCUUCCCUCUGACCCUAACCCUUCCCUCUGACCCUAAGCCUUCCCUCUGACCCUAACCCUUCCCUCUGACCCUAACCCUUCCCUCUGACCCUAACCCUUCCCUCUGACCCCAACCCUUCCCUCUGACCCUAACCCUUCCCUCUGACCCUAACCCUUCCCUCUGACCCCAACCCUUCCCUCUGACCCUAACCCUUCCCUCUGACCCCAACCCUUCAUUCUGUUACGCUUUGUGUUUCUGUGUUGUCUUUUGGUUUUACAACAAAAGGUCAAACGGUAGCUACUUCCCUGUAUAAACAACAUGCUGACCAGAUGAUUAUUUGAUAAUGAUUCGCUGAUUCAUGUGUUUUUGUGUUGUCUAUGUUCUGUCACCUCUCUCACCAGGCCACGUCAGGUGGAAUGGUGUUAGAGGCUUUAGAGACUUUCAGAAAGAUCUCUCACCUCCUCUGGUCUCCUCUGGUCUCCUCUGUAGUUGACUGGUCUCCUCUGUAGUUGACUGGUCUCCUCUGGUCUCCUCUGUAGUUGACUGGUCUCCUCUGUAGUUGACUGGUCUCCUCUGGUCUCCUCUGUAGUUGACUGGUCUCCUCUGUAGUUGACUGGUCUCCUCUGGUCUCCUCUGUUGUUGACUGGUCUCCUCUGGUCUCCUCUGUAGUUGACUGGUCUCCUCUGGUCUCCUCUGUAGUUGACUGGUCUCCUCUGUAGUUGACUGGUCUGCUCUGUAGUUGACUGGUCUGCUCUGUAGUUGACUGGUCUCCUCUGGUCUCCUCUGUAGUUGACUGGUCUCCUCUGUAGUUGACUGGUCUGCUCUGUAGUUGACUGGUCUCCUCUGUAGUUGAUUGGUCUCCUCUGUAGUUGAUUGGUCUCCUCUGGUCUCCUCUGUAGUUGACUGGUCUCCUCUGGUCUCCUCUGUAGUUGACUGGUCUCCUCUGUAGUUGACUGGUCUGCUCUGUAGUUGAUUGGUCUCCUCUGUAGUUGAUUGGUCUCCUCUGUAGUUGAUUGGUCUCCUCUGUAGUUGACUGGUCUCCUCUGGUCUCCUCUGUAGUUGACUGGUCUCCUCUGUAGUUGACUGGUCUGCUCUGUAGUUGAUUGGUCUCCUCUGUAGUUGAUUGGUCUCCUCUGUAGUUGACUGGUCUCCUCUGGUCUCUGUAGUUGACUGGUAUCCUCUGGUCUCUGUAGAUGACUGGUCUCCUCUGGUCUCUGUAGAUGACUGGUCUCCUCUGGUCUCCUCUGUAGUUGACUGGUCUGCUCUGUAGUUGAUUGGUCUCCUCUGUAGUUGAUUGGUCUCCUCUGUAGUUGAUUGGUCUCCUCUGUAGUUGACUGGUCUCCUCUGGUCUCCUCUGUAGUUGACUGGUCUCCUCUGUAGUUGACUGGUCUGCUCUGUAGUUGACUGGUCUCCUCUGUAGUUGAUUGGUCUCCUCUGUAGUUUACUGGUCUCCUCUGGUCUCUGUAGUUGACUGGUAUCCUCUGGUCUCUGUAGAUGACUGGUCUCCUCUGGUCUCUGUAGAUGACUGGUCUCCUCUGGUCUCCUCUGUAGUUUGCUGGUCUCCUCUGGUCUCUGUAGUUGACUGGUCUCCUCUGGUCUCUUCUGUAGUUGACUGGUCUCCUCUGUAGUUGAAUGGUCCCCUCUGGUAUCCUCUGUAGUUGACUGGUCUCCUCUGUAGUUGACUGGUCUCCUCUGUAGUUGAUUGGUCUCCUCUGUAGUUUACUGGUCUCCUCUGGUCUCUGUAGUUGACUGGUCUCCUCUGGUCUCUGUAGUUGACUGGUCUCCUCUGUAGUUGACUGGUCUCCUCUGUAGUUGACUGGUAUCCUCUGGUCUCUGUAGUUGACUGGUCUCCUCUGGUCUCCUCUGUAGUUGACUGGUCUCCUCUGGUCUCCUCUGUAGUUUGCUGGUCUCCUCUGGUCUCUGUAGUUGACUGGUCUCCUCUGGUCUCCUCUGUAGUUGACUGGUCUCCUCUGGUUUCCUCUGUAGUUUGCUAGUCUCCUCUGGUCUCUGUAGUUGACUGGUCUCCUCUGUAGUUGACUGGUCUCCUCUGUAGUUGACUGGUAUCCUCUGGUCUCUGUAGUUGACCGGUCUCCUCUGUAGUUGACUGGUCUCCUCUGUAGUUGACUGGUCUCCUCUGGUCUCUGUAGAUCACUGGUCUCCUCUGUAGUUGACUGGUCUCCUCUGUAGUUGACUGGUCUCCUCUGGUCUCUGUAGAUCACUGGUCUCCUCUGUAGUUGACUGGUCUCCUCUGUAGUUGACUGGUCUCCUCUGUAGUUGACUGGUCUCCUCUGUAGUUGACUGGUCUCCUCUGUAGUUGAUUGGUCUCCUCUGUAGUUUACUGGUCUCCUCUGGUCUCUGUAGUUGACUGGUAUCCUCUGGUCUCUGUAGAUGACUGGUCUCCUCUGGUCUCCUCUGUAGAUGACUGGUCUCCUCUGGUCUCCUCUGUAGUUUGCUGGUCUCCUCUGGUCUCUGUAGUUGACUGGUCUCCUCUGGUCUCUUCUGUAGUUGACCGGUCUCCUCUGUAGUUGACUGGUCUCCUCUGUAGUUGACUGGUCUCCUCUGUAGUUGACUGGUCUCCUCUGGUCUCCUCUGUAGUUGACUGGUCUCCUCUGUAGUUGACGGGUCUCCUCUGUAGUUGACUGGUCUCCUCUGUAGUUGACUGGUCUCCUCUGUAGUUGACUGGUCUCCUCUGUAGUUGACUGGUCUCCUCUGGUCUCCUCUGUAGUUGACUGGUCUCCUCUGGUCUCUUCUGUAGUUGACUGGUCUCCUCUGUAGUUGACUGGUCUCCUCUGUAGUUGACUGGUCUCCUCUGGUCUCCUCUGUAGUUGACGGGUCUCCUCUGUAGUUGACUGGUCUCCUCUGUAGUUGACUGGUCUCCUCUGUAGUUGAUUGGUCUCCUCUGUAGUUUACUGGUCUCCUCUGGUCUCUGUAGUUGACUGGUAUCCUCUGGUCUCUGUAGUUGACUGGUCUCCUCUGGUCUCCUCUGUAGUUGACUGGUCUCCUCUGGUCUCCUCUGUAGUUUGCUGGUCUCCUCUGGUCUCUGUAGUUGACUGGUCUCCUCUGGUCUCCUCUGUAGUUGACUGGUCUCCUCUGGUCUCCUCUGUAGUUUGCUGGUCUCCUCUGGUCUCUGUAGUUGACUGGUCUCCUCUGUAGUUGACUGGUCUCCUCUGUAGUUGACUGAUCUCCUCUGGUCUCCUCUGUAUUUUACUGGUCUCCUCUGUAGUUGACUGGUCUCCUCUGGUCUCUUCUGUAGUUGACUUGUCUCCUCUGUAGUUGACUGGUCUCCUCUGGUCUCCUCUAUAUUUGACUGGUCUCCUCUGAUCUCCACUGUAGUUGACUGGUCUCCUCUGGUCUCUGUAGUUGACUGGUCUCCUCUGGUGUCCUCUGUAGUUGACUGGUCUCCUCUGUAGUUUACUGGUCUCCUCUGUAGUUGACUGGUCUCCUCUGGUCUCUGUAGUUGACUGGUCUCCUCUGUAGUUGACUGGUCUCCUCUGUAGUUGACUGGUCUCCUCUGGUCUCCUCUGUAGUUGACUGGUCUCCUCUGGUCUCCUCUGUAGUUGAGUGGUCUCCUCUGGUCUCCUCUGUAGUUGACUGGUCUUCUCUGGUCUCCUCUGUAGUUGACUGGUCUCCUCUGUAGUUGACUGGUCUCCUCUGGUCUCCUCUGUAGUUGACUGGUCUCCUCUGGUCUCCUCUGUAGUCGAGGGUCUCCUCUGGUCUCCUCUGUAGUUGACUGGUCUCCUCUGGUCUCCUCUGUAGUUGACUGGUCUCCUCUGGUCUCUGUAGUUGACUGGUCUCCUCUGUAGUUGACUGGUCUCCUCUGGUCUCCUCUGGUCUCUGUAGUUGACUGGUCUCCUCUGGUCUCCUCUGUAGUUCACUGGUCUCCUCUGGUCUCUGUAGUUGACUGGUCUCCUCUGUAGUUGACUGGUCUCCUCUGUAGUUGACUGGUCGCCUCUGUAGUUGAUUGGUCUCCUCUGCUCUCUGUAGUUGACUGGUCUCCUCUGGUCUCUGUAGUUCACUGGUCUCCUCUGGUCUCUGUAGUUGGCUGGUCUCCUCUGUAGUUGACUGGUCUCCUCUGGUCUCUGUAGUUGACUGGUCUCCUCUGUAGUUGACUGGUCUCCUCUGUAGUUGACUGGUCUCCUCUGGUCUCCUCUGUAGUUGAGUGGUCUCCUCUGGUCUCCUCUGUAGUUGACUGGUCUUCUCUGGUCUCCUCUGUAGUUGACUGGUCUCCUCUGGUCUCCUCUGUAGUUGACUGGUCUUCUCUGGUCUCCUCUGUAGUUGACUGGUCUCCUCUGUAGUUGACUGGUCUCCUCUGGUCUCCUCUGUAGUUGACUGGUCUCCCCUGGUCUCCUCUGUAGUUGAGUGGUCUCCUCUGGUCUCCUCUGUAGUUGACUGGUCUCCUCUGGUCUCCUCUGUAGUUGACUGGUCUCCUCUGGUCUCUGUAGUUGACUGGUCUCCUCUGUAGUUGACUGGUCUCCUCUGGUCUCCUCUGGUCUCUGUAGUUGACUGGUCUCCUCUGGUCUCCUCUGUAGUUCACUGGUCUCCUCUGGUCUCUGUAGUUGACUGGUCUCCUCUGUAGUUGACUGGUCUCCUCUGGUCUCCUCUGUAGUUGACUGGUCUCCUCUGUAGUUAACUGGUCUCCUCUGUAGUUGACUGGUCUCCUCUGGUCUCCUCUGUAGUUGACAGGUCUCCUCUGUAGUUGACUGGUCUUCUCUGGUCUCCUCUAUAGUUGACUGGUCUCUUCUGGUCUCUGUAGUUCACUGGUCUCCUCUGGUCUCUGUAGUUGGCUGGUCUCCUCUGUAGUUGACUGGUCUCCUCUGCUCUCUGUAGUUGACUGGUCUCCUCUGGUCUCUGUAGUUCACUGGUCUCCUCUGGUCUCUGUAGUUGGCUGGUCUCCUCUGUAGUUGACUGGUCUCCUCUGGUCUCUGUAGUUGACUGGUCUCCUCUGGUCUCCUCUGUAGUUGAC
ensembl:lncRNA